GAUGAACGCUGGCGGCGUGCCUAAUACAUGCAAGUCGAGCAAACAGAUGAGGAGCUUGCUCCUCUGACGUUAGCGGCGGACGGGUGAGUAACACGUGGAUAACCUACCUAUAAGACUGGGAUAACUUCGGGAAACCGGAGCUAAUACCGGAUAAUAUAUUGAACCGCAUGGUUCAAUAGUGAAAGACGGUUUUGCUGUCACUUAUAGAUGGAUCCGCGCCGCAUUAGCUAGUUGGUAAGGUAACGGCUUACCAAGGCAACGAUGCGUAGCCGGCCUGAGAGGGUGAUCGGCCACACUGGAACUGAGACACGGUCCAGACUCCUACGGGAGGCAGCAGUAGGGAAUCUUCCGCAAUGGGCGAAAGCUUGACGGAGCAACGCCGCGUGAGUGAUGAAGGUCUUCGGAUCGUAAAACUCUGUUAUUAGGGAAGAACAAAUGUGUAAGUAACUAUGCACGUCUUGACGGUACCUAAUCAGAAAGCAACGGCUAACUACGUG
rnacentral:rRNA from 1 species